AGCAUAGCUCGGCGUUGCCCAGUAUGUAAGAAACUUUAUCGAUAAGCAAUGCCCUUUACCUUUUUACCCUUUUUUGUACUCAUUGAACCGUUAUUUUGUAAAAUGAAGCCUAAAAGGCAAUAAGGUAUUCAAGGCACCGUUCCCUCGCAUACAUGAAGUAGGCAAAAUCUAUGCCAUAGUCAAACUGCAUUUU